UGCAGGCUGCAACCCGCCUGCAUGAAGCUGGAAUCGCUAGUAAUCGCGGAUCAGAAUGCCGCGGUGAAUACGUUCCCGGGUCUUGUACACACCGCCCGUCACACCAUGGGAGUCGGUAACACCCGAAGUCCGUAGUCUAACCAUUAAGGAGGACGCGGCCGAAGGUGGGUUUGGUAAUUGGGGUGAAGUCGUAACAAGGUAAC
rnacentral:rRNA from 1 species